rnacentral:rRNA from 1 species
UACGUAGGGUGCAAGCGUUGUCCGGAAUUAUUGGGCGUAAAGAGCUCGUAGGCGGUUUGUUGCGUCGGCUGUGAAAUCCCGAGGCUCAACCUCGGGUCUGCAGUCGAUACGAGCAAACUAGAGUGUUGCAGGGGAGACUGGAAUUCCUGGUGUAGCGGUGAAAUGCGCAGAUAUCGAGAGGAACACCUGCGGCGAAGGCGGGUAGCUGGGCCGACACUGACGCUGAGGCGCGAAAGCCAGGGGAGCGAACGGG